rnacentral:rRNA from 1 species
GGUGGGUAGGGUAAGGGUGGAGGUAAGCUUUCGCCUUUGGAGGGACUAAAGGGGUAGAGGAGGGGGAGGGGGUUUUGGGAUCAAAGCGAGGAGGAAGGGGUACACUACCCUACGGCGGGUUUGGGAUGGGGGUCAGGGACUGGCGGCGACGGAGGAAGGGGCGCUGGACCUACAGGCGUACCUGCCGAAGGCCCGGGACUAGCGGCGGCCCCGGUGGCGGCAGACGACGCAGCAGACGCGGUAGACCCGUAAGGCGAGGGGAAGGGGGGGAGGGGGGUUCUUCGUCGUCGGGUAANNNNNNNNNACGACGCAGACGCGAAGGACACCAACGACGCGGUUAUGGUGAAAGGGGUCGCGGUUGCCGCUCUACCGGCAGCCGCCCCUCUACUUGUUCCGCGGCCGCGGUCGUGGACGUUGCUGCCCGCGGAGGUACUACCUCGUCGAGCACGGACUCUAGUGGUGGGUGCGCGAGUCAAUGGAGCUGACGUGAUCGGAGACGGCGGAGAGCUACUGGUUAAGUCGGUACGCGGCGCGGCGGUUGCUGCUACCCCGAACCUUCCGCGAGAUGGUGUUCCUAAAAUGUCGCCUCGUCCUAUGAUAUUGAGGUGGAUUGCCUACCUUCCGUAUGAUACGUCGAUGUUUCCGGUAGUACUUACACUUACGACUCAAGAUAUUAUAGUAGUCCCUUCCUAGGAACGGUCGUUACUCAGUGAAGACCGAAUUGAGUCUGAUACAUUUUACGCAUGUACGAUGACCUCUCGAAAAAUGUCCUAUGUUACGUCACUACUUGUCGACCCCGAACAAUAAGUUGACCCCGGUUCUACCUCCGGUCCCGUGACUAAAAGUCGAUGCCCUACAGUCUCGAGCACAUGAACGACUACAUCGUACCCAAUUGUACUUCCAAGUACAGCUACAACUGGGUCCCGGCAAGGUACACUGGUUACAUAUGCUCAAGACAUUACCGUCCACCGUAUACCAAGUAGUGGUAUCGAGUGAGUACCGACUGGGUCGCGGUGUAUUAGACAAACCGACUUAAGUUGAUGUUUCAAAGUAGGCGUUCUUUUGAAGUAGUGUCUAACAGUACAACGGACGAAGACGCCAAAUCUGACCAUCAUCUAUGGUUUAUACAAGCACCUCUCGAAAAGAAGUGGGACAAAAGAGACAAGUAAGUAGGACUUAGUGACCAAAGAAAUAUAAAACGGGCAGUCAAGACAUAUUUACACUACAUCCUCGAGUCUAACACCUCCCAUACAACAGCACUAACACACCGACACUGACUGAACAGAGCAGCUAUACAA